rnacentral:rRNA from 1 species
AUUGAACGCUGGCGGCAGGCCUAACACAUGCAAGUCGAACGAGUGGCGGACGGGUGAGUAAUGUCUGGGAACCUGCCCGAUGGAGGGGGAUAACUACUGGAAACGGUAGCUAAUACCGCAAACCAUCGGAUGUGCCCAGAUGGGAGUAGCUAGUAGGUGGGGUACCGGCUCACCUAGGCGACGGUCCCUAGCUGGUCUGAGAGGAUGACCGGCAACACGGGAACUGUGACACGGACCAGACUCCGACGGGAGGAAGCAGGGGGGAGUAUUGCACAAUGGGCGAAAGCCGGAUGCAGCCAUGCCGCGUGUAUGAAGAAGGCGUUGGGGUUGUAAAGUACUUUCAGUGAGGAGGCGUUACUCGAAGAAGAAGCACCGGCUAACUCCGUGCCAGCAGCCGCGGUAAUAC